rnacentral:rRNA from 1 species
GAUGAACGCUGGCGGCGUGCCUAAUACAUGCAAGUAGAACGCUGAAGGAGGAGCUUGCUCUUCUGGAUGAGUUGCGAACGGGUGAGUAACGCGUAGGUAACCUGCCUGGUAGCGGGGGAUAACUAUUGGAAACGAUAGCUAAUACCGCAUGACAACAGUUAUUGCAUGAUAACUGUUUAAAAGGGGCAACUGCUCCACUACCAGAUGGACCUGCGUUGUAUUAGCUAGUUGGUGAGGUAACGGCUCACCAAGGCGACGAUACAUAGCCGACCUGAGAGGGUGAUCGGCCACACUGGGACUGAGACACGGCCCAGACUCCUACGGGAGGCAGCAGUAGGGAAUCUUCGGCAAUGGACGGAAGUCUGACCGAGCAACGCCGCGUGAGUGAAGAAGGGUUUCGGAUCGUAAAGCUCUGUUGUAAGAGAAGAACGAGUGGGAGAGUGGAAAGUUCACACUGUGACGGUAUCUUACCAGAAAGGGACGGCUAACUACGUG